rnacentral:rRNA from 1 species
AGUUUGAUCAUGGCUCAGAUUGAACGCUGGCGGCAUGCCUUACACAUGCAAGUCGAACGGCAGCGGGCCCUUCGGGGUGCCGGCAAGUGGCGAACGGGUGAGUAACACAUCGGAACGUACCCUGUGGUGGGGGAUAACCCGUCGAAAGACGGGCUAAUACCGCAUAAGCUCUGCGGAGGAAAGCGGGGGACCGUCAAGGCCUCGCGCCACAGGAGCGGCCGAUGUCCGAUUAGCUAGUUGGUAGGGUAAAGGCCUACCAAGGCGACGAUCGGUAGCGGGUCUGAGAGGACGGCCCGCCACACUGGGACUGAGACACGGCCCAGACUCCUACGGGAGGCAGCAGUGGGGAAUCUUGGACAAUGGGGGAAACCCUGAUCCAGCAAUGCCGCGUGGGUGAAGAAGGCCUUCGGGUUGUAAAGCCCUUUUAGCGGGGAAGAAAUCGGCUAGGUGAAUAAUCUAGCUGGAUGACGGUACCUGCAGAAAAAGCACCGGCUAACUACGUGCCAGCAGCCCGCGGUAAUACGUAGGGUGCGAGCGUUAAUCGGAUUUACUGGGCGUAAAGCGUGCGCAGGCGGUCCGCUAAGACAGGUGUGAAAUCCCUGGGCUUAACCUAGGAAUUGCGCUUGUGACUGGUGGGCUAGAGUACGGUAGAGGGGGGUGGAAUUCUGGUGUAGCAGUGAAAUGCGUAGAGAUCAGGAAGAACACCCGAUGGCGAAGGCAGCCCCCUGGGCCUGUACUUGACGCUCAGCACGAAAGCGUGGGGGAGCAAACAGGAUUAGAUACCCUGGUAGUCCACGCCCUAAACGAUGGGUACUACCCGUUUGGUGCUUGAUAUGGUGCUGAGUGGCGAACUUACGCGUGAAGU